rnacentral:lncRNA from 1 species
CCUUAUUUACCUCAAUUAGAGAGUAACUUUGGAAAAUUUUUAAUACACUUAAAGUGUGGAAUAGAAUAUUUAGGUAUACAUCAAAUAGUUGGAAAAUAAUUAGGAACCCGACCUAGACUUAUUGGAACAACUAAUGAUUAUUUUACAUACUGUCAAAGUAUAUUUAGUUUCCUUAACCUACUAGAUAAAAAAAAAAGAACAUAAGAUUAAAGAAAUAUUUU